rnacentral:tRNA from 1 species
AUCGCUUCAAUUGAAUAGCCGUUGAUUUUGCUAACAAAUCAUACGCCUCUUAAUCAGCGGGUCCCAGGUUCGAGCCCUGGUGCGCCCACCA